rnacentral:rRNA from 1 species
CUUGGUCAUUUAGAGGAAGUAAAAGUCGUAACAAGGUUUCCGUAGGUGAACCUGCGGAAGGAUCAUUACAGAGUUCAUGCCCUUACGGGUAGAUCUCCCACCCUUGAAUAUUAUACCUUCGUUGCUUUGGCAGGCCGUGGAAACACCAUGGGCCCCGGCUUAUGCGUGCCUGCCAGAGGAAACAAACUCUGUUUUUAGUGAUGUCUGAGUACUAUAUAAUAGUUAAAACUUUCAACAACGGAUCUCUUGGUUCUGGCAUCGAUGAAGAACGCAGCGAAAUGCGAUAAGUAAUGUGAAUUGCAGAAUUCAGUGAAUCAUCGAAUCUUUGAACGCACAUUGCGCCCCGUGGUAUUCCGCGGGGCAUGCCUGUUCGAGCGUCAUUUCAACCCAUCAAGCUUCUGCUUGGUCUUGGGGCCUGCGGUUUCGCAGCCUCUAAACUCAGUGGCGGUGCUAUUGAGCUCUGAGCGUAGUAAUUUUUUCUCGCUAUAGGGUCUCGGUGGUUACUUGCCAGCAACCCCCAAUUUUUAUCAGGUUGACCUCGGAUCAGGUAGGGAUACCCGCUGAACUUAAGCAUAUCAAUAAGCGGAGGA